rnacentral:rRNA from 1 species
AGUGAACGCUGGCGGUAGGCCUAACACAUGCAAGUCGAACGGCAGCACAGUAAGAGCUUGCUCUUACGGGUGGCGAGUGGCGGACGGGUGAGGAAUACAUCGGAAUCUACUUUUUCGUGGGGGAUAACGUAGGGAAACUUACGCUAAUACCGCAUACGACCUACGGGUGAAAGCAGGGGAUCUUCGGACCUUGCGCGACUGAAUGAGCCGAUGUCGGAUUAGCUAGUUGGCGGGGUAAAGGCCCACCAAGGCGACGAUCCGUAGCUGGUCUGAGAGGAUGAUCAGCCACACUGGAACUGAGACACGGUCCAGACUCCUACGGGAGGAAGCAGUGGGGAAUAUUGGACAAUGGGCGCAAGCCUGAUCCAGCCAUACCGCGUGGGUGAAGAAGGCCUUCGGGUUGUAAAGCCCUUUUGUUGGGAAAGAAAAGCAGCAGGUUAAUACCCCGCUGUUCUGACGGUACCCAAAGAAUAAGCACCGGCUAACUUCGUG